rnacentral:sRNA from 1 species
AUUGAGGAAGCCAUGGUCAAAAAGUGGGCAGACUUUGCUGGCAGACCUGAGCCACUUACCUGUAAGGGCCGGGGGCAUUUUUUCUUUCUUAAAAAAAAUUUUUUUUAAGAGAUGGGGUCUUGCUAUGUUGCCCAGGCUGGUCUUGAAUUCCUGGUCUCAAGUGAUCCUCCCACCUCAGCCUCAAGUGUGAGCCACCUUUGGGGCAUCCCCAAUCCAGGUCCCUGGAAGCUAUUGGGGGCAUAUCUUGGGGAAGAAGCAGGGGUUGGGGAGGCAGAAGAAGGUCAGGCCCUCGGCUGCCUUGAUCAGUUCCCACCCUCUAGCCCCCAACUCCUCCUGCAGACAAGCUGGUGUCUAAGAACUACCCAGACCUGUCCUUGGGAGACUACUCCCUGCUCUGGAAAGCCCACAAGAAGCUCACCCGCUCAGCCCUGCUGCUGGGCAUCCGUGACUCCAUGGAGCCAGUGGUGGAGCAGCUGACCCAAGAGUUCUGCGAGCGCAUGAGAGCCCAGGCCGGCACCCCUGUGGCCAUUGAGGAGGAAUUCUCUCUCCUCACCUGUAGCAUCAUCUGUUACCUCACCUUCGGAGACAAGAUCAAGGAGGACAACUUAAUGCCUGCCUAUUACAAAUGUAUCCAGGAGGUGUUAAAAACCUGGAGCCACUGGUCCAUCCAAAUUGUGGAUGUGAUUCCCUUUCUCAGGUUCUUCCCCAAUCCAGGUCUCCGGAGGCUGAAGCAGGCCAUAGAGAGGAGGGACCACAUCGUGGAGAAGCAGCUG